GCAGAAAUAAUCAAAUAAGUAAAAUCAAUAAUCUAGCCUAUCUUUCCCUAAUGCUGACACUGUGAACUAAAAAAGGGAACCUUUGAGAGAGACGGAUGGAGUUUGGCAUCUUGAACCCCAGAACUGGUCUGAUGAAGGUGUUGCAACAGCAGGAGGCUCCUAGUGCUGGAAGAGCACUGACUUAGAGCAGCAGGUCUCGGGUCUUAGGGUGACUUCCUCUUGUGUGUAGCGGUCCUCAGCUUCUUGUCUUGCGGCUCUGAAGCUCCCUUCUCCUUGUCGCACGAACUUUCUGGUCUGUUGAGAUGUAGAUGAGCUGAGGGAAGGGACCAGUUCUUCCUCUUGGCCUUUGGUCUUUUGCUUUGGUCUAUGGGGUCCCGAACCCAGCUGGUGAGAGAAGUGCAAUUUGAAGCCACAUGCUGCGGGGCUAACGGGUUGGUCCCCAUGCGCAGGACAGUCUUCGGCUCCGUGGCCCCGGCUCUUCUUCAGCUGCAGAGUUCUUUGUCCAUCUCGAUCUUGGCU